rnacentral:tRNA from 1 species
GGGCGAGUGGCGGAAUGGCAGACGCGCGACACUUAAAAUGUCGUAACCUAACCCGUUGUGAGGGUUCGACUCCCUCCUCGCCCA